rnacentral:rRNA from 1 species
UAGGGAAUCUUCCGCAAUGGGCGAAAGCCUGACGGAGCAACGCCGCGUGAGUGAUGAAGGUCUUCGGAUCGUAAAACUCUGUUAUUAGGGAAGAACAAAUGUGUAAGUAACUAUGCACGUCUUGACGGUACCUAAUCAGAAAGCCACGGCUAACUACGUGCCAGCAGCCGCGGUAAUACGUAGGUGGCAAGCGUUAUCCGGAAUUAUUGGGCGUAAAGCGCGCGUAGGCGGUUUUUUAAGUCUGAUGUGAAAGCCCACGGCUCAACCGUGGAGGGUCAUUGGAAACUGGAAAACGUGAGUGCAGAAGAGGAAAGUGGAAUUCCAUGUGUAGCGGUGAAAUGCGCAGAGAUAUGGAGGAACACCAGUGGCGAAGGCGACUUUCUGGUCUGUAACUGACGAUGAUGUGCGAAAGCGUGGGGAUCAAACAGG